ACCAACUUCAGCUGAGUGUAGUGCCCUACUCCAGAGAGUGUCAUUCACAUACACUACAACAUGAUUGUCACUUUUUGGAGUAGAGUAAUGCACAUCAUAUGUGAAAUAUGUGGUGGC
rnacentral:miRNA from 1 species